GAUUGGUGCUUGCAUCAUGAUUUACAUUUGAGUGAGUGGCGAACUGGUGAGUAACACGUGGGAAACCUGCCCAGAAGCGGGGGAUAACACCUGGAAACAGAUGCUAAUACCGCAUAACAACUUGGACCGCAUGGUCCGAGUUUGAAAGAUGGCUUCGGCUAUCACUUUUGGAUGGUCCCGCGGCGUAUUAGCUAGAUGGUGGGGUAACGGCUCACCAUGGCAAUGAUACGUAGCCGACCUGAGAGGGUAAUCGGCCACAUUGGGACUGAGACACGGCCCAAACUCCUACGGGAGGCAGCAGUAGGGAAUCUUCCACAAUGGACGAAAGUCUGAUGGAGCAACGCCGCGUGAGUGAAGAAGGGUUUCGGCUCGUAAAACUCUGUUGUUAAAGAAGAACAUAUCUGAGAGUAACUGUUCAGGUAUUGACGGUAUUUAACCAGAAAGCCACGGCUAACUACGUGCCAGCAGCCGCGGUAAUACGUAGGUGGCAAGCGUUGUCCGGAUUUAUUGGGCGUAAAGCGAGCGCAGGCGGUUUUUUAAGUCUGAUGUGAAAGCCUUCGGCUCAACCGAAGAAGUGCAUCGGAAACUGGGAAACUUGAGUGCAGAAGAGGACAGUGGAACUCCAUGUGUAGCGGUGAAAUGCGUAGAUAUAUGGAAGAACACCAGUGGCGAAGGCGGCUGUCUGGUCUGUAACUGACGCUGAGGCUCGAAAGUAUGGGUAGCAAACAGGAUUAGAUACCCUGGUAGUCCAUACCGUAAACGAUGAAUGCUAAGUGUUGGAGGGUUUCCGCCCUUCAGUGCUGCAGCUAACGCAUUAAGCAUUCCGCCUGGGGAGUACGGCCGCAAGGCUGAAACUCAAAGGAAUUGACGGGGGCCCGCACAAGCGGUGGAGCAUGUGGUUUAAUUCGAAGCUACGCGAAGAACCUUACCAGGUCUUGACAUACUAUGCAAAUCUAAGAGAUUAG
rnacentral:rRNA from 2 species